rnacentral:rRNA from 1 species
GACGAACGCUGGCGGCGUGCUUAACACAUGCAAGUCGAACGGAAAGGCCCUGCUUUUGUGGGGUGCUCGAGUGGCGAACGGGUGAGUAACACGUGAGUAACCUGCCCUUGACUUUGGGAUAACUUCAGGAAACUGGGGCUAAUACCGGAUAGGAGCUCCUGCUGCAUGGUGGGGGUUGGAAAGUUUCGGCGGUUGGGGAUGGACUCGCGGCUUAUCAGCUUGUUGGUGGGGUAGUGGCUUACCAAGGCUUUGACGGGUAGCCGGCCUGAGAGGGUGACCGGCCACAUUGGGACUGAGAUAGGGCGCAGACUCCUACGGGAGGCAGCAGUGGGGAAUAUUGCACAAUGGGCGGAAGCCUGAUGCAGCAACGCCGCGUGCGGGAUGACGGCCUUCGGGUUGUAAACCGCUUUCGCCUGUGACGAAGCGUGAGUGACGGUAAUGGGUAAAGAAGCACCGGCUAACUACGUG